rnacentral:ncRNA from 1 species
CAAAGGUUUGGUCCUGACUUUACCAUCUGCUAUAGUUAUUUUUAUACAUGCAAGUAUCCGCCCACCCGUGAGAAUGCCCCUGCUUCCACAGAGGAAACAGGGAGCUGGUAUCAGGCACACUAACCAGUAGCCCACAACACCUUGCUAAGCCACACCCCCAAGGGUAUCAGCAGUAAUUGACCUUAAGCAAUAAGUGAAAACUUGACUUAGUAAUAACUAACAGUAAUUGCCACUAUGCAAUUACUUCAAGGCCGGUAAAUUCGCGUGCCAGCAACCGCGGUUAGACGUACAUAGGCCUAAGUUGAUGGACCACGGCGUAAAGAGUGGUUAAGGAACCUCAUAACUAAAGUUAAACCGCCCCCUAAUUGUAAAAAUUUGCGGAAGCGUGAAACACAACUACGAAAGUGACUUUACUAACCUGACUCCACGAAAACUAGGGUACAAACUGGGAUUAGAUACCCCACUAUGCCUAGCUGUAAACAACGAUAUUCCUAAAUUCAAAUAUCCGCCCGGGAAAUACGAACAUUAGUUUAAAACCCAAAGGACCUGACGGUGCUUAUACCCCCUAGAGGAGCCUGUUCUAUAAUCGAUAAUCCCCGUUAAACCUCACCCUCUCUUGUCAACCACAGCCAGUAUACCUCCGUCGUCAGCUUACCCUGCUAAGGCCCAAAAGUAUGCGAAAUUGGUACUCAUAGCCCAAAACGUCAGGUCAAGGUGCAGCUUAUGGGAGGGGAAGAAAUGGGCUACAUUGGCUAACAUAGUCUACCACGAAUAACAUGAUGAAACCUCAUGUAUUGAAGGAGGAUUUAGUAGUAAGUAAAAAAUAGAGUGUUUUACUGAAACCGGUCACUAAGCGCGUACACACCGCCCGUCACCAUCCCCUAUACUUUUUUAAUGAUAUAACUAAUACACUAUCACGUACAAAGGGGAAGGAAGUCGUAACAUGGUAAGUGUACCGGAAGGUGUACUUGGGGC